rnacentral:rRNA from 1 species
GUAGGUGGCAAGCGUUGUCCGGGAAUUAUUGGGGCGUGAAGCGCGCGCAGGCGGUUCUUUAAGUCUGAUGUGAAAGCCCACGGGCUCAACCGUGGAGGGUCAUUGGAAACUGGAGAACUUGAGUACAGAAGAGGAAAGCGGAAUUCCACGUGUAGCGGUGAAAUGCGUAGAGAUGUGGAGGAACACCAGUGGCGAAGGCGGCUUUCUGGUCUGUAACUGACGCUGAGGCGCGAAAGCGUGGGGAGCAAACAGGAUUAGAUACCCUGGUAGUCCACGCCGUAAACGAUGAGUGCUAAGUGUUAGGGGGUUUCCGCCCCUUAGUGCUGCAGCUAACGCAUUAAGCACUCCGCCUGGGGAGUACGGCCGCAAAGGCUGA